rnacentral:rRNA from 1 species
ACGCUGGCGGCAGGCUUAACACAUGCAAGUCAAACGGUAACAGGGAUUAGCUUGCUAAUUUGCUGACGAGUGGCGGACGGGUGAGUAAUGCUUGGGAAUCUGGCUUAUGGAGGGGGAUAACUACGGGAAACUGUAGCUAAUACCGCGUAAUAUCGGAAGAUUAAAGGGUGGGACUUUCGAGCCACCUGCCAUAAGAUGAGCCCAAGUGGGAUUAGGUAGUUGGUUAGGUAAAGGCUGACCAAGCCGACGAUCUCUAGCUGGUCUGAGAGGAUGACCAGCCACACUGGAACUGAGACACGGUCCAGACUCCUACGGGAGGCAGCAGUGGGGAAUAUUGCACAAUGGGGGGAACCCUGAUGCAGCCAUGCCGCGUGAAUGAAGAAGGCCUUCGGGUUGUAAAGUUCUUUCGGUGACGAGGAAGGUUGAUAGGUUAAUAGCCUAUCAAAUUGACGUUAAUCACAGAAGAAGCACCGGCUAACUCCGUGCCAGCAGCCGCGGUAAUACGGGGGGCGCAAGCGUUAAUCGGAAUAACUGGGCGUAAAGGGCACGCAGGCGGUGACUUAAGUGAGAUGUGAAAGCCCCGAGCUUAACUUGGGAAUUGCAUUUCAUACUGGGUCGCUAGAGUACUUUAGGGAGGGGUAGAAUUCCACGUGUAGCGGUGAAAUGCGUAGAGAUGUGGAGGAAUACCGAAGGCGAAGGCAGCCCCUUGGGAAUGUACUGACGCUCAUGCGCGAAAGCGUGGGGAGCAAACAGGAUUAGAUACCCUGGUAGUCCACGCUGUAAACGAUGUCGAUUUGGGGAUUGGGCUUUGAGCUUGGUGCCCGUAGCUAACGUGAUAAAUCGACCGCCUGGGGAGUACGGCCGCAAGGUUAAAACUCAAAUGAAUUGACGGGGGCCCGCACAAGCGGUGG